UACGUAGGUGGCAAGCGUUGUCCGGAAUUAUUGGGCGUAAAGCGCGCGCAGGCGGUCCUCUAAGUCUGAUGUGAAAGCCCACGGCUCAACCGUGGAGGGUCAUUGGAAACUGGGGGACUUGAGUGCAGGAGAGAAGAGUGGAAUUCCACGUGUAGCGGUGAAAUGCGUAGAGAUGUGGAGGAACACCAGUGGCGAAGGCGACUCUUUGGCCUGUAACUGACGCUGAGGCGCGAAAGCGUGGGGAGCAAACAGG
rnacentral:rRNA from 1 species